UGACAAGUAAACAAAGGUCAAUGCUGGAAC
rnacentral:piRNA from 1 species